GCCUUCUAAAACAAACCCUCUCUCCCCUUUCAUGUGAGGCUUCCUUUGCAUGGUUUUCCUAGUGGGCAACCACCCUUUUGCUACCAACUUUUAGGGCAAAAAGGUGGCGGCGGAAGAGGUGGAUCUCGUCGUUGAUUCACCGGAGAUGGUGGCUUCCUUCUUGGAAUUAUUGUCCAUUGAUAAAUUCUCUUGGUGGUGUUUUUCUUUUGUUGGAAAGGGCAACUUCUAUCCUUUGGCAUUUUAAUGGAGGAAAUGGUUAAUGAAAAAGAAGAGCAAUCUCAAGGAAAAGGCAGAUUAUUCAUGUUAAUCCUAUCGAUCUCUACUUAAUUACUAGUUCUUAAUAUGAGUUAUUGAGUUUUAAUUAUUAUAAUGAAUAUUGUUAUGUGUUUGUGAUCUAUUUUAGUUAUA